CCAGACUUGGCUUUUCUUGAAUGUUCCUUUCCUCAUUAUAUAAUAGAAAACCAUACUUCACUUGAAAAAAGCACAAAACCACACUAGCAUUUUCAACAGAGAGCACUGAGAGAAUUUGAAGCCUGUGUUCUCCUUUGGUUGUUUUUCAUGUCUUCUGAUCCUCCCUUUUUCCACAAAAUAAUUUCCAAUGCUUGGAAAAGCAUUGCCAUUCCAACAUUUGGGUAUGAAGGUAACCUCCCUUUAUCCUUACCUAGCAUUGCCAUUCCAACAUUUGGGUAUGAAGGUAACCUCCCUUUAUCCUUACCUAGUAUUAUAACCAGAACCAGGUCCUUAACUUUAGCACUGCCUCAGAACCAUGGUUCUGAGGCCUUGCCAAUGUACCAUUUUAUUAAUGCAACUGAGACAGAAAAACUAGACUACAACCCUAAGAAGAGAGCCUCAAAUCUAUCAGCAAAAAUUGUUUGUAUGAUCUUUGCUGCUUUAGCUAAUCAGACAAUGUCUACCCCCCAAAAUCAACCUUCAAUUCUUGGACCUGCUAUAGUGAUUGCUUUUGUAGCUUCACUUUUUGUGAUGUUGGUGUCAAAAAAUGAUACCAUAAAGCCUUCCUACCUAAGGCUUGUAGCAAUUAUGGAGAUAACUGGUUCUCUUUCUUUUACCCUCAUUUUCUGGCUAAUGACAAAACCUUUCUUCUCUGGAAACUUAACCUUGUGGAUUAUCAUGGGAGUGCUGGCUAUGGCUUGGAACAUGCUAGCCCUCUGCAUACGAUUCUCUACAUGAAUCCUAUCCGUAGGAGUCGCAAAAUCUCCAAACUAAGUAAAAGAUCGAUUGAUCUGUUGCGGUUUUAAAGGUUAAUUUCCUUGAUGAUAUCAUAGGUACAAUUGUGGCCACAUACCACAAUUGUCCAUAAUUUAUAUUAGACUAAAGUAUAUUUUAGGCCUUGAUAAAUGAUCAAUUUUUGUUUUAGAUCCCUAAUAACGAAAUUUUGUUACAUUGAAUUCCUGAUAUAUCAAAACUUUUGUUUCGAAUCCUUUGUAUCAAUUAAAUAAUGACAUGAACGUUUAUCAGGAAUUCAAUGCAAUGAAAAAAUUUAUCAGGACUACAACAAAAAUCAAUCAUUUGUCAAAGAUCUAAAAUAUAUUUAAGUCUUUAUAUUAUCAAAUAUCGACUACUACAACCGCAAUUUAUAUUGAUCAAUUAAGUAUCAGUUUACAAGGUGCAAGGGAUGUUGUGGCUUCUACUAUUUUAGCCAUCAUGCUGUGAUGGCUUGUGUUACAUCCACAUCUACAACUACAUAUAUGUUUUUCCUUCUGUCCUAGUAUAUCAUAAAACUUUGCAGUCUGCAGUCCAUCUCCAGAAUCCAAACCAUAUAUCGUUCUAGUACCUUCCCGACAUCUACAUCAAAGUCUAGUACCUGCGUAACACCUACGUACAAAGUCCAGUACCUAUCUGGCACCUACAUACAAAGUCCAGUACCCGUCUGAACCUUAUAUGGUUCACACCACACAAGAAAGAAAAUAGCCUACAUAUUCCACUUUCUUGAAGUCUUGUCAGAAAACACAACUAUUUACCGCUAGUCAAAAUGGAUCUUGUAGCCGAAACCUUCCAACCGCAACCUCAGCUUGGCUUCGAACACACAAAUUUUCGUCUAGUCUACUCCAUGGCAUGCAGUAAUCAAGUAACUACCACUUACUAGGUAGAUCUUCUUAAUGAUUUGCUGAAUCUAAGAACAUGGCAACCUGUCAAGUAUUUGAAUCAAAUAUUGGUGAAACGACUCUGUAAAUAAAUUUCCCUGUCUGAUGUGAGACCUAUCUAGUCACUAUUUCAAUUUGCUUAAUUGAACUUUGAAUAGAAUAAACAAAUUGGAUUGAAAUUUAGGGACAUAUUACUCAUAAGUCCGGAAAAAUUUCAUCCCAUUUUAUCGUGUGCUCUAUCCUUGAAUUUGUAGUCAAGUGCAACUAUGAACUUAUUGGGAUUAUGUGCUAUAUUUGUAAAAUAUCAUUAGUAUCAUCUAUGUUAAGAUGUUGGAUGUAGCCAUUUACUAGGAAGAUUUUGUUUUUCCAUCUCUCUAAGCUUCUGUUAUGUGAAAUGCAAAUCUCACGUUCGAAGACUUACCAAAGACAAUGUAUGGAAUAUCUUCAGAGUCUAAAUAUCAGACCUGAUAGAUAUCUUUCAGCAUUAUUCUCAAAUAAUUUGAGUGACAAUUGUCUUUCGCAUA